rnacentral:rRNA from 1 species
GGGGAUAACUACUGGAAACGGUAGCUAAUUCCGCAUAACGUCGCAAGACCAAAGAGGGGGACCUUCGGGCCUCUUGCCAUCGGAUGUGCCCAGAUGGGAUUAGCUUGUUGGUGGGGUAACGGCUCACCAAGGCGACGAUCCCUAGCUGGUCUGAGAGGAUGACCAGCCACACUGGAACUGAGACACGGUCCAGACUCCUACGGGAGGCAGCAGUGGGGAAUAUUGCACAAUGGGCGCAAGCCUGAUGCAGCCAUGCCGCGUGUAUGAAGAAGGCCUUCGGGUUGUAAAGUACUUUCAGCGGGGAGGAAGGGAGUAAAGUUAAUACCUUUGCUCAUUGACGUUACCCGCAGAAGAAGCACCGGCUAACUCCGUGCCAGCAGCCGCGGUAAUACGGAGGGUGCAAGCGUUAAUCGGAAUUACUGGGCGUAAAGCGCACGCAGGCGGUUUGUUAAGUCAGAUGUGAAAUCCCCGGGCUCAACCUGGGAACUGCAUCUGAUACUGGCAAGCUUGAGUCUCGUAGAGGGGGGUAGAAUUCCAGGUGUAGCGGUGAAAUGCGUAGAGAUCUGGAGGAAUACCGGUGGCGAAGGCGGCCCCCUGGACGAAGACUGACGCUCAGGUGCGAAAGCGUGGGGAGCAAACAGGAUUAGAUACCCU